GAUGAACGCUGGCGGCGUGCCUAAUACAUGCAAGUCGAGCGAACGGACGAGAAGCUUGCUUCUCUGAUGUUAGCGGCGGACGGGUGAGUAACACGUGGAUAACCUACCUAUAAGACUGGGAUAACUUCGGGAAACCGGAGCUAAUACCGGAUAAUAUUUUGAACCGCAUGGUUCAAAGGUGAAAGACGGUCUUGCUGUCACUUAUAGAUGGAUCCGCGCUGCAUUAGCUAGUUGGUAAGGUAACGGCUUACCAAGGCAACGAUGCAUAACCGACCUGAGAGGGUGAUCGGCCACACUGGAACUGAGACACGGUCCAGACUCCUACGGGAGGCAGCAGUAGGGAAUCUUCCGCAAUGGGCGAAAGCCUGACGGAGCAACGCCGCGUGAGUGAUGAAGGUCUUCGGAUCGUAAAACUCUGUUAUUAGGGAAGAACAUAUGUGUAAGUAACUGUGCACAUCUUGACGGUACCUAAUCAGAAAGCCACGGCUAACUACGUG
rnacentral:rRNA from 1 species